CCCAUACCACCAAGAAACACAAGCUUGAGGCACUCUAAUAGCAUUCCAAGCAGACCUAACAGAGAAUUCCCCAUUAACAGCAGGACACCACAACACAGAAUCACCAUGCUCAGGAACUUUAAAUUCAAAAUCACUUCUAUAAUAUACCAACCUGUCCUUUUCCUAUUCAAAUUACAAUAAUCACCUUGUUAUCAUUAUUAAAUAGGCAGAAUCUUCCAACCAUUUUUAAGACCUUUGUGACAGACCAGCAACAUGUAUUAAACUAUAUCUUGGAACAUCUUUUUUCCUUAAGACUUCAAUAAAAGACUAUUUUGGAAAACAAGGAACAAUUCAGAAUGAAUUAAGACAUAAAAAAACUUCGGAUUUCUAGAAUAAAUCAAGGGAAAAAUUGGUUAAGAGGUCAUUAUCAAUACAAUUUAUCUCAAAUUAGAUGGUCUAGAUUAAUAUGCACAAAAAUGGUGAAAUAGAACUGAUCAACGUCGUACAAUUCAAAAUCAAGAUUUAAACAAAGAGAAUUCAUAUGAAAAAGAUUAAUUAAUUAAUUACAAAAAAAAAAUGAUUACAAAGUAUAAUAGUAACAUGGUCCGGACAUCUUGGAAGCUAUAUUUGUCAAAUUCAAAACAAGCCAUAGCAUCAAUCAAUAGAGUACGUCUACCCCAUUGGAGUUGAAAAUUAUGUGUGUUUAGGCAUGUACCAACACGGCAUGUGUCAGACAUAGAUAACUUAUAUGUCACUUAUUCCUUUGCUAAUGCAUAAGCAAGAGCAACAUACCCUGGAUCACAGCUAGGACUUGAACCCUGAAUUUCACCUUAAUAGAUAAUGGUAUAAUUAUAUGUCACUGACUCACUUCUGAUUCAAAGGAAGACUACGGAUCAAACUUGGGUGGUUUAGAGAGAUGAUGUGGAAACAGUUUCUAACACUCGCUAGCGCAUGCAGCACAUGUAGAGGUGAUAGACAUGAGAUAAAUGAGAGAAAUAGACCUGGUACAAAGACUUGACACACGAAAGACCACCAAAACCCCAACUCUAAUACCAUGUUAAAAUCUAAUCAAAAACCAAUUGGCAUUGGGUUGAAAGGCCUUUUAGACUAUAUGGACCAAACUUUUGUGGCUUAGAGAGAUGAUGUGAGACAAGUCUCCUAACACUAAAGAGUCAAGUUUUGCAUAAUCAAGAAAAAAACAAUAUUGUCCAACCUAGAAGUCAUUAAUUCUUCACCAUACUUGCAAAGUUAGGAGCAAAGUGCAUUUUGGAAAGAAAUGUAGGGCUACGGGAAAUAUUGGUUUACAUGAUGGGUGGAUGGGAAAGGUAGGUUGUAUACAAAGACGAUUGACUGCAUUGAGAAACUACACGUGUUAAUUACAUUCCGUCUUUUUUCAUAGGUCCUAUUUGUGAUGGGGAAGGUGGCCGUGACAUCCGUAUGGUGGUUCGUGGGUUGAUUUGUAUUUUCACCCCCUUAACGCCCUUUUUCAGUUAAGUUUAAUGCAUUUUCGGCUCUAACUCCCAAACUACGUGUGCUAAUUACAUUCCGUCUGUUAUCACAGGUCCUAUUUUUGACGGGGAAGGUGGCCGUGACAUCUGUAUGGUGAUUCAGGGACUGUUUCGCAUUUUCGCCACCUCAACGCUCUUUUUCAGUUAAGUUUAAGGCAUUUUCGGCUCUAACUCCCAACCAACACAUGCUAAUUACAUUCCGUCUAUUGUCACAGGUCCUAUUUGUCACAGGGAAGGUGGCCGUGACAUCCGUAUGGUGGCUCGGAGGCUAAUUUGCAUUUUCACCCCCUUCACGUUUUUCAGUUAAGUUUAAUGCAUUUUCGGCUCUAACUCCCAAACUACGUGUGCUAAUGACAUUCUGUCUAUUGUGAUAGGUCCUAUUUUUCACGGGAAAGGUGGCCGUGAUCCGUACAGUGGUUCGGGGGCUGUUUCCCAUUUUCAUCCCCUUAUCGCCCUUUUUCGGGACAUGGCACACAACAAAGUGAAUGGGAAGGAAACACUAAGUUUAAUUGUCAUGGGGAAGCUGUCCUAAGUUUAAGCCAUUUUCGUCUCAAACUCCAAGCCUACGGGUCCUAAUUACAUUCUGUCCGCUGUCACAAGUCAUAAUUGUCAUGGGGAAGCUGUUUGUGACAGCCAUAUGGUGGUGGGGGGCUGUUUUGAAUUUUCGCCCCUGGAAUGCCCUUUUUCGACUAAAUUUAAAGCGUUUUCGGCUCAAACUCCAAGCCUACGUGUCCUAAUUACAUUUUGUCCAUUGUCACAGGUCCUAAUUAUCAUAGGGAAGCUGUCUGUGACAGCCAUACGGUGGUUUGGGGGUUGUUUUGAAUUUUUACCCCCGAAAUGCCCUUUUUCGACUAAGUUAAGGCGUUUUAGAACACUUAAAUUCAUAAACGAAGGCAGACCCAUUUUCCUUCUAUUUAUAUUAUUGCAACUCUUGUAUACCAGAAAACAUGUAACUGUUUUUGGGUGGCUAGCAAAUUUUAGUUUUAGCAUGAAAUCAGGAGGAUCAAAUCUUAGGAACAACCAUUAAAUCUCCACCCUGAAUUUAUUUAACUUGCCAUUUAGCCCAACUAUGCAAAGAGUUAUAACCUACCGGCUCUAUUCCUUUUUUCUACUUUGACAACCCUUGUGCAAGCAAGAAAUGAAACCACAAAACCCAGCUCCCAAGAUUGCUCACCGUGCAGACCAUGUUAGUCUCUCUCUCUCUCUCUUUGAAAAGAAUACUCUAUUUCUGAAUUAAAGAUGAUCUAACCAUUGGGUGUGCAUAUAAUUCAAAGCCAAUUAACUUCAACAAAAAGGGAAAAACCAAGGACGAGAAAACAAAGAAAAAGCCCAAGAAAACAUGCUUCAGGAAUGAUACAGAGAUACAUGACAACAAGAUCAAAUACCUUAGUAGCUCACAUGGAGUCACUGCCACUAACAUGGAUGGAUCAUGAUUAUUUUGGAUACAACCAAGGUACAUUACUAAAAAUUCUUAGUCAAUAUAACUAUAAGCAAGCAUUAGGAAAGAAAAUAAUUGUAUCACCAGACCAAAGCAUUACGAAAGGGAAAAAAAUACAUGUUUAGUUAGCUACCCACAAAGACCAAGCACCAGGCCAAAGCAGCCAACAACAAUAUUGACGAAACACAAUACAUUUUGAAAAUUUCUUUCAAUACCUCUAUGAUCAACAAUUUGAAUCUUAACAGGUUAUGAACCAGGUGUAAGUACAGAAAAGUGCCAAAGAGCAGCAUAGAAAUCCUUGCAACACCAACACUUUCCACAAGUUGCAGGAAGCUAAAGACUUUCAAGAGUAAAUCCAUAAAAAUAUAGACAUACCAAAAGAUAAUUAAAAAAAUGCAACAGUAGAGAACUGAAGGAGGUUUCUUUCCUCUCUCUAGAUAUUACCAAAUUUAGAAAAGAUUUUUGGUGGGAUGACGUAGGUACCUAGGAUGUUUUCGGUGACAUAGCUAUGAAAUACACACACGUAUAUAUACAUGCCCUAAAUAUUCAACACAGUAAAAUUAUGGAUAACAAAUUACCUGAGAAAAGGAAACAAAUGUGAUGCCCAAGUCAUUUGCAAGCCUAAAAAAAAAAAAA